CAAAUUUCUUGCCCUAUCAACUUUCGAUGGUAGAGUAGUGGUCUACCAUGGUUUCAACGGGUAACGGGGAAUUAGGGUUCUAUUCCGGAGAGGGAGCCUGAGAAACGGCUACCACAUCCAAGGAAGGCAGCAGGCGCGCAAAUUACCCAAUCCCGACACGGGGAGGUAGUGACAAUAAAUACUGAUACAGGGCUCUUUUGGGUCUUGUAAUUGGAAUGAGUACAAUUUAAAUCCCUUAACGAGGAACAAUUGGAGGGCAAGUCUGGUGCCAGCAGCCGCGGUAAUUCCAGCUCCAAUAGCGUAUAUUAAAGUUGUUGCAGUUAAAAAGCUCGUAGUUGAACCUUGGGCCUGGCUGGCCGGUCCGCCUCACCGCGUGCACUGGUCCGGCCGGGCCUUUCCUUACUGGGGAGCCGCAUGCCCUUCACUGGGUGUGUCGGGGAACCAGGACUUUUACUUUGAAAAAAUUAGAGUGUUCAAAAGCAGGCCUAUGCUCGAAUACAUUAGCAUGGAAUAAUAGGAAUAGGACGUGUGGAUC
rnacentral:rRNA from 1 species